AGGACACAUCUGUGAUUUCUGGCAUUAUAUUAUACAACUACGCAUAAUUAAAGCUUAUAAUUAAUCAUAAAUGCGAUUUGUGCUAUUAUAGCUAAUGUACCUACUUACAAAUAAUUUAGAAACUCUACUUAUGACUCAGUGAUUCUAAACUAUAUAAAACAUAAUCAUAAACAAGAAAAAUACUUUAAUAUCUAAUACAUUUUAGUGAUAGGCCGUUUCAUACGCAAUAUUUCGAGCACUAUUCAUAGUGCAUGAACUGAGAAAAACAACCCACAAGUUAUAUUUCCUAACUCUUAGAUUCAAUGUUGCUAAAAUUAUGAACCUAUUUAGCUAUGGACUGUUCAUCUGGCGUUUUCUUUCAGAUUGCUUUGGAAAUAGGCGUCCUUUGCUACUUGGAAAAGUAGGGCCGCGUUCUUCUCUCCAGUCUCCUUGACCAUGGAGCUGAAGUGGCUGUUAGGGUCACUGAGGAGGAUGUAGGGAUGCUCGAACUCGAGGACGCGGCCGAAGCUCAUGACCAGAACGCGGUCCGACUCCAUGAUGGUGUUGAGACGAUGAGCAAUGGUGUAACAACGUGACGUAAUACUCACUGUGGGUCAACAUUAGCGGUGGCUUCGUCCAUAAUCAAUAUUUUGUUGGACCUGAGCACAGCCCGAGCCAAGCACAUGAGCUGUCGCUGCCCAACGGAGAAGUUCGAUCCACCUUCCGUCACUUUGAAGUCCAAUGAUGGCACAGCAGAUUUCAUGUCCACCUAAAAGUAAAACGUUAAAAAUUGUUAAAUCAAAAUAAAACAAACAUUUACA